GGCGGCAGGUAGCCUAGUGGUUAGAGUGUAGGGGCGGCAGGUAGUCUAGUGGUUAGAGUGUAGGGGCGGCAGGUAGUCUAGUGGUUAGAGUGUAGGGGCGGCAGGUAGUCUAGUGGUUAGAGCGUAGGGGCGGCAGGUAGCCUAGUGGUUAGAGCGUAGGGGCGGCAGGUAGCCUAGUGGUUAGAGCGUUGGGCCUGUAACCGGUAGAUUGAAUCCCCGAGCUGACAAGGUAAACAUCUGUCGUUCUGCCCCUGAACAAGGCAGUUAACACACUGUUCCCUGGUAGGCCGUCAUUGAAAAUAAGAAUUUGUUCUUAACUGACUUGCCUUGUUAAAUAAAUUCUUAUGGCCAUAGUUCCCAGUCAUAGUUCCCAUAGUUCCCAGUCUAUUGGUGCUGAUCAGAGGAGAGUGGCGUACUGUAUUCGCAAGGGGACUCGGAGUGCUGAUCUAGAAGCAGGUCAAACAGUUGUCC
ensembl:lncRNA